rnacentral:rRNA from 1 species
CAUGCAAGUCGAACGGGAUAGGUUUUAGCAAUAGAACCUUGAGAGUGGCGCACGGGUGCGUAACACGUAUGCAACCUACCUUUAACUGGGGGAUAGCCUCUCGAAAGAGAGAUUAAUACCCCAUAGUAUAUUUUGGUAGCAUUAUUGAAAUAUUAAAGAUUUAUUGGUUAAAGAUGGGCAUGCGGCUGAUUAGGUAGUUGGUGAGGUAAUGGCUCACCAAGCCAACGAUCAGUAGGGGGUCUGAGAGGAUGUCCCCCCACACUGGUACUGAGACACGGACCAGACUCCUACGGGAGGCAGCAGUAGGGAAUAUUGGUCAAUGGGGGAAACCCUGAACCAGCCAUUCCGCGUGCAGGAUUAAGGCCCUAUGGGUCGUAAACUGCUUUUGUAUGGGAAAAAAUCACCUUAUGUAUAGGGUGUUGAUGGUACCAUGAGAAUAAGGAUCGGCUAACUUCGUGCCAGCAGCCGCGGUAAUACGAAGGAUCCAAGCGUUGUCCGGAUUUACUGGGUUUAAAGGGUGCGUAGGCGGAAAAUUAAGUCAGUGGUGAAAGCUGGUAGCUCAACUAUCAAAUUGCCAUUGAAACUGAUUUUCUCGAGUACGGUUGAGGUAGCUGGAAUGUAACAUGUAGCGGUGAAAUGCUUAGAUAUGUUACAGAACACCGAUUGCGAAGGCAGGCUACUAAACCGUAACUGACGCUGA